AUAUUCCUAAUCAACACAAUAAUUAAGCUUGGUUCUUUCGAGAGCAUGACACCCCAGCUUCUAAAAUGGUUGUGGGAUUGACAUGUCAUCAAAUGAAAAAAAGCUGAGAAACCAAUCUCUUCAUUUUGAUAAUACACGUCAUUUCCUUUGAGCCGUGGAGUUUUCAGAUUUCAUCUCUUCUUUCUCCUCCUCUUCAGAUCUUAUCUCUUCCUCCUCCUCCUCUCCGAGCUCGUCGGCAUCGAGCUCUUCUACCCAAACAAAAGGGGAUCCGCGACACUCUUUGAGCUCAUCGGUGUCGAGUUCUUCUUCAGACUCUCCGGCCUCGUCGGCGUCGAGUUCUUCUCCAAUCGCAUCACGAGGAUCUAGCUCAAACAGAAGGGGAUCCGCGGCGCUCUUUGAGCUCGUCGGCUCGAAUUCUUUUUCAGACUCUUCGGCCUCGUCGGCGUCGAGUUCUUCUCCAGCCGCAUCACGAUUUGGACUUCUAGGUUUCUAGCAGUUCUAAGAUAUGAGUUCGGUUUGAAUCUUAUUCCGGCUUAAGAAUGUUUUGACAAUCCUGAUAACCGGUGAUAUUAGUAUGGUACGAUUGGAUCCGGAGAGAACGAUUGUAAUCUGAUAUUAACCGGUUAAGGCCAAAGAUUGGUUAAGGCCAAAGAAACUUUGCUAUUAGAACAUAUCAAACAACGAUUGUAUAAUUAGGCAAGAAAUUUGUUUAGUGUUUGAGAGUUCUAGGGUUCUAGCAGUUCUACGAUCUGUUUAGUGUUUUACUUGUCAAGUUUUAAAGAAGCUCUUUAAGAGAAGAGUUUUGCAUCAAAUCUACUGGCAUGGUUAAAGGAGCUCAUCUAUCUCCUCUUUCAAAAGGAAUUGGACGUCGCAAGGCUGCUUCAUCUAGCAUUACCUCUGUACUUUAUCUCAAGGACGAGAUCACAAUUGCCACUGCUGGAGCACCAGAUAGUGCCCUGAAAUUUUGGGACGUAAGAAAGCUGAAAGCUCCUUUUGCUCAAGCAUCUCCACUAAGGUAAUCUAAGCUUCAUAUUUCUGUCGUGUUAUUUCUUAAUGGUCACUAUGUGAAUUUGGCAUUGCUCAGUUCCAGUAGAUACUUGGUGAUGUUGUUCCUUGGUGAUGUUGUUUCCUUGAGAACAGAUAAAGCCAUCAAAGAAUAUCUUGUAUGAAACAUGUAAGCCUGAGAAAUGGUUCAGGUGCAAUGACUUUGAUGAGAAGAGUAUUAUUAACUAUGAAGAUUCUAAAUUUGAAAAACCGAUGAGAGACAAUGAAGGUAUAGUAACAGACGUAUGUUUAGUUGGUUUACAAGUGGAUAUCUUCUAUCAAGAAAACUCCAAAUGGUAUAUGAUUCUCCUUGUGAAGACAAUGACUUCAGACGCGGAGAGAUUUUGUAGAAAUACGGUUAAAGAGCACUCUGAUUGUAGCUUUCUAAGUCUCAUAUUUGGUUCCCAAGGUGAUACUCAGAAAUAGCUCGAGAAGUAAGUCACCUACAAAUCUCAUGGCUACUAUUUUCAGCUACAGUUCCAUAUCUUCCUUGUGUUGACAGCCUUCUGUGUCUCUGAGUCAAGUACUUCUUCAUUACUAUCCUCUUGAUGGACGUCUCACCAUAAGUCCUGUAGGUACUUUUGAAAACAAUUUAUAACUCCGACUAAAAUAUCUUUAAUGGUGUGAACUUCAGGUAAACUAAGGAGUUGUGUUUCUGGAAGCUGAAACAAACUGUAAAAUGGAUGAGAUUGACGACAUCACAAAAACAGACCUUGAGACACUAGAGAAACUUGUCUAUGAUGUUGUAGACACCAAGAAUAUUCUUGAAGUCCCUCCCGUUACUCCUCAGGUGACUAAAUGGAGGGUUUGUUCUUCGACUCUGUAUGAAUCAUUGUAUGUUCGAUGGUAUUGGAGCUAUGGAGUUCGUUAACUCAUGGACUCAAGUUUCCAGAGGCUUACCAUUAAUAACUCCUUUCUUUGACCCCCCAAAAAAAAACUCUUUUCUCGGAUAGAACCGGAGGAGAUGUUGCACUUAAAUACUUAGAUGAUGGAUUGCCCAAAUAUGUCUAAGAAAAUUAGAUCCUCUUUUGUUUUUUCUACGUUAUUUCUAAUGUCGGAUUAUGUGUUUUCGUUAUGCCAACAUACAUAUUCCCCAAAAUACAAAAUAACAAUAACAAUAAAAAUCAAAACUAAAAUAAAAUAAACUUUAGUAGCAUGCAUAAAACAAAAAAAAAUAAUACAAAAUAAUA